UAUUUGGCAAACUUGGACACAACUUUGAUAAUUCAGAGCCAGCUCAAUCUUUAGACAACUAGGCGGUCGUCUAAGACUCUGGCCCCCAAAUGCAUUUAUUAUAGUGAAUUCCAAGAUGGAAUCACCAAGACCAUGGUUGACCCGCAUGAAAACUUUCACUUUCUUAAUUGCUUGAUUUAUAAGUCAUAUUAUUGCCAGGACACAAGAGUUCAGCUGCAAAUGAUGUUUUAACAAAGAUUUAUAUUGAAGACUUCAUGAAGCAUGAAGCAUGGCAGAGAGUGAAGCCAUACUUUGUCGAAUCGGAGAAUGAUAAGAAUCGAAACUGAUACUCAUCAAAUUGAGCAUGCCAUGCCACGGUGCCUUGUGCAAUCCUUUAGGUGGCUUCGUGUUCAAACAAUUCUUAAGAACAUUUUUUAGGGAAAGCCAGGUUGUUAUUCUACGUACGCCUCUUUGACCAACCGCUGCUGAAGUCAUCAUGCAUGUCAGCUUGAAAUAAAUUAUUACUGAAGCUUAGUUGCGAGGUGGAAAUGAGUUAUAUAUAUGGGGUUCGGUCACUAAAUCAAAAUUUUUAAUUCGAGCCCUUGGCAACUGAUAGGCUUUGCAUAUUCAGUAGACUUAUUGACCUAAUACAAGGCACUACACUCAUUUUGUCAAAUGUCAAAGCCAUGAAUCUUCAGUAUUGUUGCACCAUGCUUAAUUAAGUGAUUUGUUCUUCAUAUUUCCAGAAUAUCCCAUAUGACUGAUGACAAGACACCAUAUAACGUGGAUCCCGACUCUUGUACCCAGAUUGUUUUGGAGUGGCAAGUGUUACUAAAAGAAGUGCUAUGAUGGAGAGUUUGAAUUGCAAGUACAUAUCUAGGGACGAAAGAACAAGGCUGUUUUAAGGGUAAGAAUGGCUGGAAACAGGUUCAAGUUGAGGAAAGUUGGCGUCUUUCAUGGAACAAUUAUAAUUUUUAUUAUGGCACUGCAACUUAAAGUUCAGGCCCUACAAGGGGUGUAUAUAACUAAUAUGAGGCCAGAAAAAAUUGACUGUCAUCUCGACUGACUGAGGAAUUCAGGUUCUAAUUAGGGUGGCCGCCUAGUUGAUCAGGCAAGCAAAUGUAUGGGGCAUAUGGUUAGUACGCUCUUCUAUUGUUCCACAGCAAAUUAUCAUAUUACUUUGUUUGGUAAGUUAAUUAUAGUUAAUGAUCGAUUGAUAUUGAUUAUUGUCAGUACAUAAGUACAUGCAUGCAUACGUACAUACAUACGUACGUACGUACAUGCAUAUAUGUGUGUGUGUGUAUGCAGACUUGUAUGAUCAUUUUGCAUUUUUAUUCUUUAACACAUCAUCCCCUUCUCAAAUUUUUGGGUCAACUUAGAGAGAACAUUGCAGGAGAAAGACAGGAGGGUGACCAAGGGAUCAGCACAAUUUUUGGGUUGUAUGGUACUAAGUGCAGUGUUGGGAAACACCAAAUCAAACCCCGAAGUAAGUGAGGCAUGCAAAGAUACAUUAGAAUACUCAAAACUUGAUCACGCCUGGCUACGUUAUUCAACAUCAUAUGUCAUGGUAUAUUCAUAAGCUCGUGGUGAUUGCAGUUUAUAGAAGAACCUAUCAACAGAUUUCUUUUUUUUUCUUCUUUUUUUUUUGAGAAGAGGUGAUGAAUAAAUUUACAAUCCCUAGUGCUAUGUUUUGAGUGAUUUAUGUUCAUCUGAUGUCGCACAUAUAAAUAAAUUUAAUUUUA